rnacentral:rRNA from 1 species
AUUGAACGCUGGCGGCAGGCCUAACACAUGCAAGUCGAGCGGAGCGGCGGACGGGUGAGUAAUGCAUAGGAAUCUGCCUGGUAGUGGGGGAUAACGUACGGAAACGGGCGCUAAUACCGCAUAAUAUCCGAUGAGCCUAGGUUGGAUUAGCUAGUUGGUGGGGUAAAGGCUAACCAAGGCGACGAUCCGUAACUGGUCGGAGAGGAGGAUUAGCCACACUGGAACUGAGACAGGGUCCAGACUCCUACGGGAGGCAGCAGUGGGGAAUAUUGGACAAUGGGCGAAAGCCUGAUCCAGCCAUGCCGCGUGUGUGAAGAAGGUCUUCGGAUUGUAAAGCACUUUAAGUUGGGAGGCGUUACCAACAGAAUAAGCACCGGCUAACUUCGUGCCAGCAGCCGCGGUAAUUC